UACGGAGGGUGCAAGCGUUAUCCGGAUUCACUGGGUUUAAAGGGUGCGUAGGCGGGUAUAUAAGUCAGUGGUGAAAGCUCCGAGCUUAACUUGGAAACUGCCAUUGAUACUGUAUAUCUUGAAUAUCGUAGAGGUUAGCGGAAUGUUGCAUGUAGCGGUGAAAUGCUUAGAUAUGUUACAGAACACCAAUUGCGAAGGCAGCUAACUAUGCGACAAUUGACGCUGAGGCACGAAAGCGUGGGGAGCAAACAGGA
rnacentral:rRNA from 1 species